rnacentral:lncRNA from 1 species
CUCUUCCCAGAGAGCCAGGGAUCCCAAGGUGCAAAGUUUGGAGCCAGGGGCAGGCUGAGCCUCUGUUCUCCUAGUUCCAGCCUCGGCUCUUUAAUGAAAAUUGUCAGUCAAGUAAGACUCCGUCAUCACCUUCCAGCAAAGAAUGAGUGGGGAGAUCUGAGAAUCGAUACUGAACAGCUUCAGUACUACGAUGUCAUAAUGGGGCUGUGAGCUCAGCCGAAAGCCCCCCGCCCAGUUUUUUUUGGAAGUGGUCAUAGAAUCUCUCUGGAGAAACAACAUGGAAAUGGAGACCAAAAGAGGGAAGGAGGGAUGCCACCAGAUGACACUGGGAUCCCGGAAGACGGAACACUGUGUGCAACGGGCAAAGAACUUUUCAAAAGGGAUUUCAACCUCUGACCACCUGGAGACAGGCGACUGGCGCUCAUUGUAAAUGCACCGACAUGACAGGGAACAGCUGCUGGGGAGGUGGAGACGGGUGCCGGGAGAGACAGGAAACCCCAGAGGCUUGGAAAUCCAGGAGCCACAGGAAGCAGUGAGCUUUCUGCGGAGCCGGAUCCGGUGGAGCCAAUUCACCAGCAGGUCCCGGCAGCAACUCUUCUACAACAGAUUCCUGCCCGUCCCUGUGCCCCAUCGCCCCCCUGCCGUCAAUCUCCACCUCAAGGGAGCCAGACCAAGCCUUUCUGUGUGUAGCGCACAUCUCUCCUGCGUAGAGCUCACCUAGUGGCUUCCAUAGCUUUUUUUUUUUUUUUUUUGGAGACAGGGUCUUGCCCUGUCACCCAGGCUGGGGUACGGUGGCAUGAUCAUGGCUCACUGCAGCUCCCUCCUGGGCUCAAGUGAUCCUCCUGCCUCAACCUCUCAAGUAGCUGGGACUACAGUUGUGCACCACCCCACCCAGCUAAUUAUUAUUUUUUGUAGAUGUGGGAUCUUGCUAUGUUGCCCAGGCUGGUCUUGAACUCCUGGCCUCAAGCAACCUUCUCACUUCAGCCUCCCUAAGUGCUGGAAUUAUAGGUAUGAGCCAUCCCGCCAGUCUUCCGUGGCUUUUCUAACAAUAUCCUUGAAGGACCUCUGUGAAUCCCUUUCCCAAUGUCUAUCUGCACUGUCCCUGUCCCAGGCUGAUCCUGCUCAGACACGCUGGCUUGCUUUCUGGUCCUCUCACAAGCCAACCCUGUCCCCACCCCAGGGCCUUUGCACUUAUGGUUUUGCCUCUACCUAAAUACCCUAUACCAGUGCUGUCUGAUAGAAAUAUGUAAUAAUGGGGGCCGGGCGUGGUGGCUCACACCUGUAAUCCCAGCACUUUUGGGAGGCCGAGAUGGGCAGAUCACGAGGACAGGAGAUCGAGACCAUCCUGGCUAACACGGUGAAACCCCCUCUCUACUAAAAAUACAAAAAAUUAGCCAGGCGUGGUGGCGUGUGCCUGUAGUCCCAGCUACUCAGGAGGCUGAGGCAGGAGAAUGGCGUGAACCCGGGAGGCGGAGCUUACAGUGAGCUGAGAUCACACGCCACUGCACUCCAGCCUGGGUGACAGAACGAGACUCCGUCUCAAAAAAAAAAAAAAUGUAAUAAUGGGAGCCUCAUAUGUAAUUGUACAUUUUCUAGCAGUAAGAGGAAAUUAAAUUUAAUAAUAUAUUUUACUUCACCCAAUAGAUCCAAAAUAGUAUCACUUCAAUGUGUAAUCAGUAUUUAAAAAUUCCUGAGGUAUUUUA